GCUUUGGUGGGUCUGCCUAACAUCCGAGACAGGCACAUGGCCUAGAAGGGGCAGAGUGGCUGCAGGGGGACUGCCUGGAAUGUCAGGUAAGUCCCCCCCAGUGCGAUCGCCAUUAUGGGAACACUGGCAGUCAGGUAAGUGGCGAGGACGGCAGGCAUGUGCUAUGACGCCUGGUAGAAUUUAGGCCUGUCUCCUUAAGGAUGGUUUAGCACUGUAAGAUCAAAAUUUACAUCUCUUUAAAUGUUUGCCAUAGACUUCUAUUAAUUGAUCAAUCACUGGUUUUGUUUGUAACCUCUGCAGUACUGCGAAGUUCAACUGAACGACACACAUGAUGCUGGUUCAAAAAGACUACGAUUUAAUUGUAACACACAUCAGUAUGUGAAAUGAGCAUUAUACAUGCCCCUUAUUGGAUCAUCUAAUAGGGUACUAACACAUAGUUCUUAAAGGAAAUAGAGGGGUAGAAACACACAUACUUGCAGUAUACAGGAAAUAGGGAAGAAAGUAAAUAAAGUACUAACAAAUGGUCACUGUCAUACAAAGAAAGGAUACCAAUGUAUAGAACGGCCAACACCCUGUCUAAAAGGAACAUGACUUAGCGUGUUAGUCUAGGGGCUUAUUCAUUAACAUGUUGAAAAUCAAGAAGCAUAAAAAUAAUAUUCUAUCAAGCACGCAGGCCAUCUUUAAGGAGUUAACAAAUAUGGAGAAACUGCUUGUAAAUAUUACUGAAAUCUUUCAUUUAUAGUUGGACGGAAGGCUAACACAUAAGGUUACAUCAGACAUAGCAUUCACUGGCAAGAUGGAGGCUUCGUGGAUGUUAUAGUGGAGUACGUGUUACCAGAAAUAUAAUGGAUGCAAUAAGGAUAUGUG